UGUCAGCACAGUUCACGAUCUUUGUGCUGUCCUCGCCACGGACUUCUUUACUACUGUCACAGAAGUGCAUCUUAGCCUGAAUGACGCCACUGGUGUUCACUCAAAAAGCAUCUUUGUGCUGUCCUUGCUCCUAGUGAUUUUUCAGAACUUUGUCGAACAUUAAAGAAGGUUAUCACCGAUGUAAACAUUACUGUGGGAAAAUAAAGAAAAAAAAAGGAAAAAAAAAGAAAAAAAAGAAAAAAAAAAUGAAAUAAAAAAGGGAAAAAAAAGGCAUCCUUGGUAGGGAUCCGAGAACCCUUCAUAAAAACAAGGAAAAAAAAAGAAAAAAAAACAUUGCUGUUGCAGUUGAAGCUAUUCAAGCAUUGGGCAACUUUGCUAUGGAUCUGAGAACCCAUUUUUCGGCAAGAUGUCGCUUCUUAUUGCCUCUACUAUUGGAGAAAUUGUAGGAGAAGAAACCUACUUCAACGGAGGCCCUUACCCAAACUCUUCAGGCAAUGCCUAAGUCCAGAUGGUUGAGUGUAAAUGACACUGUUGAAGGCAUGA